rnacentral:rRNA from 1 species
UACGUAGGGUGCAAGCGUUGUCCGGAAUUAUUGGGUGUAAAGAGCUCGUAGGCGGUCUGUCGCGUCGGAUGUGAAAAUCCAGGGCUCAACCCUGGACCUGCAUUCGAUACGGGCAGACUAGAGUUCGGCAGGGGAGACUGGAAUUCCUGGUGUAGCGGUGAAAUGCGCAGAUAUCAGGAGGAACACCGGUGGCGAAGGCGGGUCUCUGGGCCGAAACUGACGCUGAGGAGCGAAAGCGUGGGGAGCAAACAGG